AGGACCUUCUUUCCAACCUUGGCGAGCAGAACAGCGAUGCUCAGCCCACCAAUACCACUGCCGAUCACAAUGGCGUCAAGGUCCUGAGGAACUCUACUGGCCAAAAAGCCUGUGGAGAGGAAAUAAAUUUUUAAAAGCUGUACCGGUUUGAGCGGCUCGCGCAUGUCGACAUCAAAAGGACUCGGCCCGGAAUUACCAAAGACAUAUUUAAGGAAUAAAGCAAUAAACAGCAGUGCGACGAUUAAUCCUAUAGAGACCCACAUUUCUCAUGUCAUUCUCUAUCUGUUCGCUACCUAAAAUCUGCUUUGACACUUUGACCGGGUGGAGCGCCGUGUGUCGAACACUUCCGGGUUUAUGCUUCAGCCAAGCAUACAUGUUCUUCUUUACUGUUGAUGAUGGCUAGAUCUCCUCCCAGUUUCUGACAGCUGUUUCUGCUGGAGCUCCAGUUCAUUUCAUCACCGAAUAUAAUGUAGACUCUCUCCUUGUAAAUGAUGUGUUGAUUU